UACGUAGGGGGCGAGCGUUGUCCGGAUUUAUUGGGCGUAAAGAGCGUGUAGGCGGCUAGGUAGGUCCGUUGUGAAAACUCGAGGCUCAACCUCGAGCUGUCGAUGGAAACCAUCUGGCUAGAGUCCGGAAGAGGAGAGUGGAAUUCCUGGUGUAGCGGUGAAAUGCGCAGAUAUCAGGAAGAACACCCGUGGCGAAGGCGGCUCUCUGGUACGUGACUGACGCUGAGACGCGAAAGCGUGGGGAGCGAACAGG
rnacentral:rRNA from 1 species